AAAGAGAAGCGCGCGCACGAUCUCCGUCCGAGAAUCGGGGAGAAGAGGGAGGGGUAUUGGAGGGGGGUACCCAGCCCAACUUUUAAAUUGUUAAAAGGUGGGGACCGAGACGGACAGGUAAACGAGCGGGGCCCCCGUGUGAUUGGCCGACCCCUCCUCGCCUCCCUUUCCCCGUCAAGGUGCUCCUCUCUUCAAACAAGCGUGCCGCUCCGACUCGGGAGUCCCCGACUGACAGAAGCCUUCGGGACCCCCUGCCAUGAAGCCAGACCGGGUCGCCCUCUUCUACCAGCGCUGCGUGGCGGAGUCCUCGCCCCAGGGGCCAGGGCUGUGCGGGCCUCCGGCCUACACGGCGGCCGUGGCGCGCCGCAACGAGCGCGAGCGGAACCGGGUCCGCCUCGUGAACCACGGCUUCAACGCGCUCCGACAGCACGUGCCCCAGACCGCGCAGAAGAAGCUCAGCAAGGUGGAGACGCUCCGCUCCGCCGUUGAGUAUAUCAAGGAACUCCAGGAACUCCUGGAGUUGACGCGCGGCACGACGACGACGAACCCCACGUCCUCCGCGUCUUCGUCGCCGACGUCUUCGGCGUCCUUCGGCGCCCCCAAGGAGAACAGGGUGCCGUGCGGGUACACGGGGUCCAUCGAAGCCUCGGCGGACAGUAACACGAACAGCAGUGGGGGCAUCAAGGGGUGCCCGUCGCCCGACAGUGAAGAGUGCGCGCCUCGGGACCAGGACGCUCUUUGGGAACUCGCCUCCUGGUGGUCCGGCACGUAACUCUUUCUAGAACCUCUUUGGACCAUGUGGAUAUUGUACUUUCGUUGUGCGUGCGACGGCGAAAAGCUGCACUCCCGGGGCAAACUGGUUACGUGCGAGGUGCUUCUAAAGGAGAACCUGUAGACAUCAAGUCCGCAACUCCAAUGCAGAACUCUGAUUCUAUCGCCAGCCUCCUUCGAGAGUAUAGAUAUGUUUUAUAGAAGAGAUAUUAGUAUCAAUUUUCUCGCGUAAUUUACUUGAACAAUUGAAACGAGGAUGUGCCAUACAACGACGUGAAGUUGUGAUACGAACAAUGUAAAUAGCCUUUAUCUAGCUCUUUCGCAAAAAACAGUUUUGCGCUUUUUUACGCACGUGUACAUAUCUUGAAGGUAUGGUUGCCGGGGUGGAGAAAAAUUCUUUGCUUUUAAGAAAAAUAUACUAAAUCAUAUUUAUUUUAUUCUGUCAGAUGUAUUUGAUUGAUAUCAUAUUUAUUUGGUUCAAAUGAUACUAAUUUUAUUUAAAUGACUGUAAUUAUGAAACAGGGCUUUUUAAUCACUAGAAAUGCAUUGUUAGACAUGUCAGUAUGACUGAUCAAACAUUCAGGUCACUGAAAGAAAUACGGAAGAAUUACCAUAACUUGAGUACGGUUUAAUGAGCGCCUCUUUUAUUAAGUAAAUCCCGUCAUAGUGGAGUAAAAAUAGCUCGAUAUGCUUAGUUAGUGAUAAAAGCUUUAUUUCUUUUUCUUUUGCGUCCUGGCUUUCUUGCAAUAUGACGUUACUUUUCUAUUGGUAGUUUUUUUUGGCGUUCUUAUUUGCUUCCAAUAGGAAGUUAUGUAUUCGUCGAACGAAGUAGAUAUGGAAAGAAAGCUGAACGUUCCAAUUUGCUCAGAAGACCACUGCUUUGUGCUUCUGAUCAACCUGUGCUAAAUCAUUCUUGCUUACUUAUUCAAUGAUUUAACACAAAACAAAUGCGUAAAAAACAUCAAAUGCUAAGGAACGAUCAGGGAAAAUUAUUUUUUAGAUAAUUUCUUUUAGCGGAAAGGUUUGAUUUCAAUUAUUUUAAUAAAACUAGCCUCAUUUAUCUCAUGAUUUGAAUCACGAUUUAAAUCAUCUUGAUUAUUAUUCUCCACCCUGAUGGUUGUGUAUAUACGGUUUUUGGAUACGCUAUUUAUGUACGAGGGUUUACAAAAAUUGCUGGCUUCUACCUCAAUCUUUCAUCCCUAUUGGCCUGACUCAGCGAGUUCUUUCGAGGCUCAGGGAACGACGUUUUUAUUGACAAACAAGCUAUGGAAAGUGCUCAAUAAUAAUAGUCUUCCAGGCUACGGCCAUUUUUUCAUGUUCUUCGUUGAAUAAAAUGUUUUAGAAC
rnacentral:lncRNA from 1 species